rnacentral:lncRNA from 1 species
GACUAGAGCAUCUGCACCAGGUGUGAUGACAGCAUCCUCUGCAAGUUGUAAAAGUUGCACAGUGAUGAAGGAAGGCUCCGUGCAUUCACUGUCUUCCCGCAAGGGUACCGAAAGUCUC